UAAUUCCGUGCCAGCAGCCGCGGUAAUACGGAAGGUGCAAGCGUUAUCCGGUUUUAUUGGGUUUAAAGGGUGCGUAGGCGGCUUAUUAAGUCAGUUGUGAAAUCCUAGUGCUUAACGCUAGAACUGCGAUUGAUACUAUUAGGCUUGAGUUAAGAAGAGGUAGGCAGAAUUUAUGGUGUAGUAGUGAAAUGCUUAGAUAUCAUAAGGAAUACCAAUAGCGUAGGCAGCUUACUGGUCUUUAACUGACGCUGAGGCACGAAAGCGUGGGGAGCAAACAGGAUUAGAUACCCUGGUAGUCCACGCCGUAAACGAUGAUCACUCGAUAUACAUGAAACCUCAUGUGUGUCUAAG
rnacentral:rRNA from 1 species